AUUGAACGCUGGCGGCAGGCUUAACACAUGCAAGUCGAGCGGGGGUAGGUAGCUUGCUACCGGACCUAGCGGCGGACGGGUGAGUAAUGCUUAGGAAUCUGCCUAUUAGUGGGGGACAACAUCUCGAAAGGGAUGCUAAUACCGCUUACGUCCUACGGGAGAAAGCAGAGGAACUUCGGACCUUGCGCUAAUAGAUGAGCUUAAGCCGGAUUAGCUAGUUGGUGGGUUAAAGGCCUACCAAGGCGACGAUCUGUAGCGGGUCUGAGAGGAUGUUCCACCACACCGGGACUGAGAAACGGCACAGAGUCCUACGGGAGGCAGCAGUGGGGAAUAUUGGACAAUGGGGGGAACCCUGAUCCAGCCAUGCCGCGUGUGUGAAGAAGGCCUUAUGGUUGUAAAGCACUUUAAGCGAGGAGGAGGCUACUCUAGUUAAUACCUAGGGAUAGUGGACGUGACUCGCAGAAUAAGCACCGGCUAACUCUGUGCCAGCCGCCGCGGUAA
rnacentral:rRNA from 1 species